rnacentral:rRNA from 1 species
UACGGAGGGUCCAAGCGUUAUCCGGAAUCAUUGGGUUUAAAGGGUGCGCAGGCGGUAGUGUAAGUCAGUGGUGAAAUCUCUCGGCUCAACCGAGAAACUGCCAUUGAUACUGCAGUACUUGAGUACAGUUGAAGUAGGCGGAAUGUGUAGUGUAGCGGUGAAAUGCUUAGAUAUUACACAGAACACCGAUAGCGAAGGCAGCUUACUAAACUGAUAUUGACGCUCAUGCACGAAAGCGUGGGGAGCGAACAGGAUUAGAAACCCGUGUAGU